UCAGGGGGCCGGACGGCCGCCGGCGGGUAACCCUCGGGCUGCCCGCGGGAGGAAAGUCCGAACUCCACCGGACAGGGUGCCGGCUAACGGCCGGGCGGCGUGAGCCGACGGAAAGUGCAACAGAAACAAACCGCCGCCGCGCUCCUCGGGGUGCGGGGGUAAGGGUGAAAUGGUGCGGUAAGAGCGCACCGGCGUCCCGGAGACGGGGCGGCCGUGUAAACCCCACCCGGAGCAAGGCCAAAUAGGGGAGCGAUCGGGGCGUCCGGCUCCGCUCCCGGGUAGGCCGCUGGAGGCGGCGGGCAACCGCCGUCCUAGAUGGAUGGCCGUCAUCGCCUCGUCGAGGUGGUACAGAAUUCGGCUUACAGGCCCCCUGACCCC
rnacentral:RNase_P_RNA from 1 species